rnacentral:lncRNA from 1 species
CUACAUCUAGCUCAAAAAUAACUUCACAAUGCAUUUCAGAAAAAAUAACUAAUGAAAACUAAACAUUACUAUUACAUAAUAUAUUCAUAUAUAUGAACAUGGUACCUUUUUUUCCUUCUUUUUAUUUAUCCAAACCUACUUACAUUCUAUAAGAUAAUUUCUGUCUACGGAGAAGGUUAUUACAGAAGAUAAGAGAUAAGCUAGCUAAGGAGAUUAAGUUCUAGUUUAUUUGGCAACAUCUGUUCAACUUAUAGAACUCCAUCAAGUAUAUAAUUUCCAAGCACAUAUUGCUGCUGGGCUGUUCCAUAUAGCUUGAUCAGAUAUUAGCUACUUGGUUCAUAGUUUCUUCCGUCUGGAUCAGUUCCGAGUUAUUGCCUUUUCACAUCGGAUUCUUCGGUCUUUGCAAAUCUUCCACGGAUUCUUGGUUGACUGUCAGCAAGAGCCUUCCUGCAAGCAUACUGAAACCGAAGGAUAUCAUUAGUUGAGUUCGGAAACUGUUGAUAGACCGAAAGUAACACAACAGGGAAGCUUGGUUGCAUAAGAAAACUGUGGUUAAUGCAUACUAAACAACUCUGAAGCAUUUAAAGGAUUAGUCAAACUGCUUCUUACUUAGCUGAUCUU